ensembl:lncRNA
CUGUGUGUGUCUAGGGAGUCAGAGGUGUCCAGGAACGAUCCUCAGGGCUCUGCAAGUAACGUGUGACUUUGCUGGACUUUUCUCACGCUCAAGCGGACACCUUUCAAGAUGGGUAGAAAAAAAUAUAAGGGGGAAAGUAAGAAGACAUGACACCCAAAGUUAUCCACCUGCACCGGGAAGAGGACAGCGGGGACUGUUCCCAGGAGGGAUGUAUUCCCACAUCUCAGAAGGGUGUAAGUGUGACAUGAGAGGAAGAGCAAGGCUGAUCCCAUCCACACUCACCUUUGCUAUGGUCUGUUUCUAGGCCAGCCAAUGCUGACAGUGCUGCAGAGCCAUUUUGCAAAAUGAGCCUCUUCUAAUGUGAUGCCCUGUGUGCAUCGUAGGUCUAUUCCCUCUCACACCAAUAAACACUCUGGCUAUUAAAGCUUAUCUGCUCAAUCACAAGCAUUCCUGUGCAGAACAAGGGCAGUUAGCCUCAGCUCUGCCUUUAAGGAGUCCAACUUGGCUAUUACUAACAUAAGUGGGGUCUUUUUUGUUUUGUUUUGUUUUGUUUUGUUUAUUCACUUAAUAAUCUCUGAUACGUUGUGCCGGAGCUGAGUGGACUGCAGCUUGGCUCUGUACACCAGGUGGCCUCAGUGGUAUGUGCUUCAGUCCUGAGGAUCUCAGGGUGCAGUUGCAACUCCUGCUGAUACC